rnacentral:rRNA from 1 species
GUCCACGCCCUAAACGAUGCAUAUUUGGUGUGGGUCAUUCAGUUGAUCCGUGCCGGAGCUAACGCGUUAAAUAUGCCGCCUGGGGAGUACAGUCGCAAGGCUGAAACUCAAAGGAAUUGACGGGGGCCCCGCACAAGCGGUGGAGCAUGUGGUUCAAUUCGACGCAACGCGAAGAACCUUACCUGGGCUCGAACGGCUGGUUAACGGCUUUGGAAACAGAGCUACUCCGCAAGGAGGUCCAGUCGAGGUGCUGCAUGGCUGUCGU